AAUGCAAAUGCUGACUGCUCCACUUUUACAUGUCUGUUAGUUUAAGAGCAGCAGUGAGUUAGUGGUGAACACAGUAUGAACAGAGUCACAUGGCUUCUACAAUGAUUAGAUUUGAGGUUCUCCUUGCUGUUAUCAUCUUGUCCUUAAACUGUAGCGGUACUGAUGGUCAAACACUGACUGAGUCAGAAUCAGUGGUUAAAAGGCCUGGAGAAUCUCACAGACUGACCUGCACAUAUUCUGGGCUUAGCUAUACUGAUAUAGCUUGGAUCAGACAGGCGCCUGGAAAAGGACUGGAAUGGAUCGCUUACAUCAGCUCUGGCAGUAGCAGCAUCUACUACUCUGACUCAGUAAAAGGCCGGUUCACCAUCUCCAGAGACAACAGCAGAAGUCAGGUGUAUCUGCAGAUGAACAGCCUGACAGCUGGAGAUUCUGCUGUUUAUUAUUGCGCUCGAGAGCCACAGUGACACAGAAAGCAGAAAUGUUGAACAAAAACUCA